rnacentral:rRNA from 1 species
UACGUAGGCAGCGAGCGUUGUUCGGAAUUACUGGGCGUAAAGAGUGUGUAGGCGGUGCUCUAAGUUCGGUGUGAAAUCUCCCGGCUCAACUGGGAGGGUGCGCCGGAAACUGCCGGACUAGAGUGCGGGAGAGGAGAGUGGAAUUCCUGGUGUAGCGGUGAAAUGCGCAGAUAUCAGGAGGAACACCAAUGGCGAAGGCAGCUCGCUGGGACGGUACUGACGCUGAGACGCGAAAGCGUGGGGAGCAAACAGG